rnacentral:rRNA from 1 species
AGCGAACGCUGGCGGCAGGCUUAACACAUGCAAGUCGAACGGGCGUAGCAAUACGUCAGUGGCAGACGGGUGAGUAACGCGUGGGAACGUACCUUUUGGUUCGGAACAACCCAGGGAAACUUGGGCUAAUACCGGAUAAGCCCUUACGGGGAAAGAUUUAUCGCCGAAAGAUCGGCCCGCGUCUGAUUAGCUAGUUGGUGAGGUAACGGCUCACCAAGGCGACGAUCAGUAGCUGGUCUGAGAGGAUGAUCAGCCACAUUGGGACUGAGACACGGCCCAAACUCCACGGGAGGCAGCAGUGGGGAAUAUUGGACAAUGGGCGCAAGCCUGAUCCAGCCAUGCCGCGUGAGUGAUGAAGGCCCUAGGGUUGUAAAGCUCUUUUGUGCGGGAAGAUAAUGACGGUACCGCAAGAAUAAGCCCCGGCUAACUUCGUGCCAGCAGCCGCUGU